GAUGAACGCUGGCGGCGUGCUUAACACAUGCAAGUCGAACGAGGAUUUAACGGAAUGAGAUUCGUCGAAUGAAGUUAAGUCCGAGUGGCGGACGGGUGAGUAACGCGUGGAUAACCUGCCUUACACAGGGGGACAAAAGUUGGAAACGACUGCUAAUACCGCAUAAAAUGCGAGUGUCGCAUGACGCUCGCAUCAAAGAUUUUAUCGGUGUAAGAUGGAUCCGCGUCUGAUUAGCUAGUUGGCAGGGUAACGGCCCACCAAGGCGACGAUCAGUAGCCGACCUGAGAGGGUGACCGGCCACAUUGGGACUGAGACACGGCCCAAACUCCUACGGGAGGCAGCAGUGGGGAAUAUUGCACAAUGGGCGCAAGCCUGAUGCAGCGACGCCGCGUGAAGGAUGAAGUAUUUCGGUAUGUGAACUUCUAUCAGCAGGGAAGAAAACGACGGUACCUGACUAAGAAGCCCCGGCUAACUACGUGCCAGCCGCCGCGGUAAGAC
rnacentral:rRNA from 1 species